GACAGAGGCCUCAAGCGUUUAGGCGGAAUCACUGGGCUUAAAGCGUGUGUAGGCGGACUUCUAAGUGCCUUGUGAAAUCCCACGGCUCAACCGUGGAACUGCUGGGCAUACUGGGGAGUCUUGGGCCAUUCAGGGGCAACUGGAACAAGCGGUGGAGCGGUGAAAUGCGUAGAUAUCGCUUGGAACGCCGGAAGGUGAAAACAGGUUGCUGGGGGAUGUGCCG
rnacentral:rRNA from 1 species